CUCGGAGGACCCAGCGUUGCCCAUCGGUCCCCUCCCACCUGAAGCCUCGCUGCUUUGCCACCCCUGGCUGCCCAGCCAGCGCACCUUUGGGUGCUGCAUAGCCUUGCGCCCUCAGGGCGUCUGCGCCCCUCUGUGCCCGGGUCAGCGUGGGGUCUGCGUGUGUGCAGUGAGCUUGCUGACCGCUGGUGUCACUGGAGCAUAGGUCUUUAUUCCCCCCGCCCUUCCCCCAACCAUCUGGACUCUGGUCGGGCCACUGUCCGACCAAUGCUUCCAGCUCCGUGGGGCUGGCUCAAGCUUUCCCAGUGCCCUACACCCCCAGAUCCACCUGGCUGCAGAUAAGCGUCCCCCGGCGCCCUCCAUUGCUCUGGCUCUUCUUGGUGUCCCUUCCAGAAGACCACCACCCCAAGGUCCCAGGUUCCCUGCUCACAACUUAGAUGAACGAGGACCAGGACCUGGCUCGGAACCAGUUGCAUUAGCUGCCAACUAUGCAUCAGCGAAACCAGCCAGGGAGAAUGUGGGACCACAGCUGCCCAGUGUCCUGUGGCUGCCCAGGUGCUUCCCCCAGUGUCCAUCUGGGGCUGUCUCUGCUGUUGUCCUGAGCUGAGUUGGGGCUCAGCCCUCAUGGAGCUGACUAUGGACUGACACUGCUGGGAGCACUGUGCUGUAGAUCACUAUGACCAGGCCUAACUCACCUCCUCCUGCAGAUGAGGCAGGGCCCUGCAGGAGGAGAACAAGAGGGCGUGGUGGAGCAAGGCCUGGAUGAGAAGAGGACUGCCUUCCUUCCCACCCAGUCACCAGAAAACCAUCAAGCAUGAUGUCCUGCAGACCUUAGCUACUCUCCUGGCUCUGGUUACAGACUAGCCCCUUUUACCUCUCCCUGCACUUCCCAUAACUCUACCACUAUAAAUAAAAGUGCUGCAGUUC